ACUUUCUUAGUAUAAUAAUACAAAUGACUUCCAAUCAUUUAACCUCAGUUUAAAUCUGAGAGAAAGUA
rnacentral:tRNA from 1 species